AUAUACGACCAUACCCACUGGAAAACUCGGGAUCCCGUCCGCUCUCCCAUAGAUAAGCCAGUGAGGGCCGGAUUAGUAGUUGGGUCGGUUUCGACCAGCGAAUACCUGGUGUUGUAUGCU
rfam:Glomerella graminicola M1.001 genomic scaffold supercont1.47, whole genome shotgun sequence.